UCCCCGGUGGCUCAAUCGGCAGAGCGGGUGGCUGUUAACCACUAGGUUGGCGGUUCAAGUCCGUCCCGGGGAG
rnacentral:tRNA from 1 species